rnacentral:rRNA from 1 species
UACGAAGGGUGCAAGCGUUAAUCGGAAUUACUGGGCGUAAAGCGUGCGUAGGUGGCCUCAUAAGUCCGCUGUGAAAGUCAAAGGCUCAACCUUUGAAAGCCGGUGGAUACUGUGGGGCUAGAGUACGGAAGAGGCGAGUGGAAUUCCUGGUGUAGCGGUGGAAUGCGCAGAUAUCAGGAGGAACACCAAUAGCGAAGGCAGCUCGCUGGGACGUUACUGACACUGAGGCGCGAAAGCGUGGGGAGCGAACAGG